AUUAAACGCUGGCGGCAUGCCUUACACAUGCAAGUCGGGCGGCAGCGCGGGGGCAACCCUGGCGGCGAGCGGCGAACGGGUGAGUAACACAUCGGAACGUACCCUGUCGUGGGGGAUAACGAAUCGAAAGAUUCGCUAAUACCGCAUACGACCUGAGGGUGAAAGCGGGGGAUCGCAAGACCUCGCGCGAGAGGAGCGGCCGAUGGCGGAUUAGCUAGUUGGUGGGGUAAAGGCCCACCAAGGCGACGAUCCGUAGCGGGUCUGAGAGGACGGCCCGCCACACUGGGACUGAGACACGGCCCAGACUCCUACGGGAGGCAGCAGUGGGGAAUUUUGGACAAUGGGGGCAACCCUGAUCCAGCCAUUCCGCGUGAGUGAAGAAGGCCUUCGGUUGUAAAGACUCUUUCGGCCGGGACGGAAAGUACGCACGGGCGUAAUAUCCUGUGUGGAUGACGGUACCGGAA
rnacentral:rRNA from 1 species